AGAAUGCCAUCUCUAGGAUGCCAAUGGGCUGUGUCUACAGUACUAUGUAGGAAAGUGCUGCAAGAGAGAGCCCAUUUUGCCUAAACAAGAACCACGAUUAUGUAAAGUUCUUUCUGUCACCUCUCUGAAGACCUGGUUCAUAUCUGCAGCUGCAACUCUAUCCCUGAACUCAUCUUUGAAACUACCCAGAGAUAGACUGUCAAGAGCUUCAGAGCUUUACAACAGGAUCUUCCAAGUGCCCUGAGAGGUCCGCGUCACCUUUAGGAGCUGUAACACUCACCGCGAAGGUCUGCAGCUUCACUCCUGAAGCCAGCGAGACCACGAACGCACCGGGAGGGAUGAACAACUCCGGACGGGAGGAACGAACAACUCCAGACGCGCCAUCUUAAGAGCUGUAACGCUCACUGCGAAGGUCUGCAGCUUCACUCCUGAAGCCAGCAAGACCACGAACCCACCAGAAGGAAGAAACUCUGAACACAUCUGAACAUCAGAAGGAACAAACUCCAGACACGCCACCUUUAAGAACUGUAACACUCACCGCGAGGGUCCGCAGCUUCGUUCUUGAAAUCAGUGAGAUGAAGAACCCACCAAUUCCAGACACAGUAACACCAGUUAUCACUGAUUGCAGUUCAUCAUAACAGAUAUAAUAAUAAUUUAAAAGUUUGAAAUAUUAUGAAAAUUACCAAAAUGUAACACAGACACAUGAAGCAUUGGAAAAAUGGCACCAAUAGUGUUGUUUGAUGUAGCAUUACCAUAAAUCUUAGAUUUGUAAAUAACAAAGUAUUUGUGAAGCACAGUAAAGCAAAGCACAAUAAAAAUGACGUGUGCUUGUAUUUUAAAAGAACAGAUUGAAUUGGGAAGGGUAGUUGAGGAACUGGAAGCAGAGAGAACAGGUACAAGAUUCACGUAGUAGUCCAAGAAAAUUAAAGCAAGUAGAAAAACUAACAGAAGUUCAGGAUAAAAGAUUUUGAGGCCUUAACUACACAUUUCCAGAAGGAAUGGAAAAAGGUCAGAAAUGAGAAUGUGGAAAUAUCCUCAGCUGAUUUGACUGUAAGUAGAAAGUGUUGGCAUAAAAAAAAUGGACGAAGCCAAAAAACUCAUGGAAUGAUGAAUAAUUAAAUAAAUUGAGGUCUCCUUAUCAAAAACAAAAAUGAAGACAUGUAGAUAGAAAUUUAUAUGUCUUUACUCUGUAAAGCUGGGAGAAUACCCAGAAGGUAUUUAGGAAGUAUGUGAUAAAAAUUUAAGAUUGGAGUUAAUGAACCAGAGAUAGGCAUGAGACACAUAAUAGGUAAUAAUACAGGUUAGCUGGUAAGAUCUUUGGAGCACAGCAAGCUUGGAUUUGAGUUAGUAAUAAUAAUUAUGCACUGCACAUUUUAGCCUUUAUAAUUUUUCACUGGUUCUUCCACUUAAUAGGCAUCUUUUAACAUCUAUUAAGUGUAGGAAAAUACUAAGAGCUGGAGAUACAGCAGUAAUAAAUAAAGUUUAUUUAAGUAAGUGUAAAGUUAAUAAAACACAGUCCCUAAUCUCAUUACUCUUACACUGAGAGAUUUUCACAUUCAAAAUUUACUGAGCACCUAUUGGGUACAGAGGACUUGGAUGGGCAAAUGAAUACAAUAUGUCUCUUGCUGUGUUGUUGGAACAAGUGGAAUGCUGGGGACAUCCAAAGAAAGGAGACCACAUGGAGGAGGUGAUAUUGGAUCUUGAGGGAUGAUUAAGAGUCAUCAAACAAACGACAUUUAUAUAUAUAUUAUAAUAUCAUCUCCUGUAAUCUCGCUCACACCCUGUGAGGACCAAGUAAAUAUAUUAAAGAUGUAUUUCUUAUAGAAUAUUCUGAGCAAGAUGAGAGAAAGGAUAGUAUGAUAGCCCUGUCAGUCCUUGUAUUCCUCUCCCUAAUUUCACUGUUUUGUUGAAAGUGUUUGUUUGGUUUUUUUAAUAGUUUUUAUUUUGUAUUUAGCUCUAGACAAAAGAACAGUACUAUUCCUUGAAAACAUUUAUUCUUUAGGGAUAUGAAGUGGUAUGUUUGCCCAACAAAAUACACAAUUUCUAAAAUAUUAUGACUAAUUCAAGCAAAUGUAUUCUCUAAAGAAAAAUUUCCACUUCACU
ensembl:lncRNA LINC02552 long intergenic non-protein coding RNA 2552